ensembl:lncRNA
UGAUCUCAAUAAAGUAUUGCUGUUUCCGCCCGGUUUCGAACCGGGGACCUUUCGCGUGGGAGCCGAGAAUAGUCGUCCUUAACUUCCUUAACUUUUCCCAUUCAUUCUCUAUGGUAGUUCUUAUCACUACGGAUGUAAUAUUUUUCUGGCCACAAGCGGGAUUUUGGUGGCGCUGUUUCCCCCCUCGGCAGAAGUAAGGGGAUGAUUUAUUUUCUGAGUGACAGACAGCAUCGAACGUUCUCGGGCGUUGAACGUUCUGGAAGAGUUGACAAUUAUUUUCAUCCGUGGACAAGUUAACUUUUCGCCAGGAGACACCAAGUUAACAACAACAAGUUAGCUUUUCAAUUUGAAAAGAAAUCAUGAAUCCCGUCAGCUUCUUCCCCGGAAAGAUGACGGUGACAUUUAGGAGGGGACCAUCGGGUCAUCUGCGGCAGGACCCAUCCUCUGAGGCCAUGAGGAUAAAACAUAAUCCUGGGCUUCAGGUCAAUAGUCCCGCUGAGAAACCUGAGCUAGUGAAGACCAGCGCUCGCACUGUGGUCAUCCAGCGAGGAGGGGAUGUGUCGGACCGACAGGAGGUGAUGGGAGAGUACCUGCUGCAGUUUGGCAAGUACCAGGGAAAAUCGUUCAAGUGGCUCCUCGAGAACGAUGUUGGCUACACCAUCUACCUGAUGAAAAAGGUAGACGAUGAGGAGAGAGCCGGGACCUUCAACCCACAGGGACACAGUAAGGACAGCCUGCUGUCUUUUCUGGACUAUGCCAGGAGCUUCCAGGAAAUACAGGACCUGAGGAACUACCUGAUCUCCAGGAACCCUGCUGAACCUGUGGCGUCAGAGGGGGACAAUAUUGUCGGCUUUGGUCGCAGGGCCAAAACCACCUGGAGGCAGAUCUGGGAGAGCAGGGCGGAUGGUUAUGCUGCCUACAUCUCACGCCAAAAGUGCAUCAAAAACAGCAAGAUGUACAACCUGCAGCAGUACAUCCUCAAGCAGGAAAGGGCUGAAUCCUGUCCAACACCUGCAGAAGGCUCCACUACAUCUACUGCCUCCAUCCCAACAUCAGGCACUCUAGAAGGCUCCACCACAUCUACUGCCUCCACCACAUCUACUGCCUCCACCCCAACAGCAGGCACUCUAGUGAUGGAGGAGGACGAGGAACUGGAGAGACAGAUGUUGAACCUGUCUCCAUCUUUAUUUGACACCGGAGUAAGCAGGUGGAUCAUCAAGGGUGAAACCGUAACUCUUCCGGUACUUGAUCAAAUGUCCCCGGUGCUUUCAGGCCCACCAGCAGCAGUCCAGGGAAGAGCAGCUGUGGAUCCAACGAAAGGUUUUUCUUCAUCAGUGCGGACGGAGGAUUCUGUUUACAACAGAAUUCACCUGCCGUUACUAUUUUUUGUCAACUAGUUUGUUAUUUUGGCCGUGUUCUGGUCUGUACUGAUGUUUGUGUUCUCUUGCUCUCCAACUAACCAAAGGAAUUAACAUGCCGUCGAAGAUGGUAAGUGUUUUGUGUUAUAUGCAUGCUUCAUUUAAGCUGUCGUUCAAGGAUUUGGCGUGUGAAAUACCACAGAGGCUUAGAUACAGGUUCACAUGCCACAUCUUUGAUUGACCAGUGAUAUUCUUACUAUAUACUUAUAUUGCUUCUGUGCUUUACCUGUUCUCAGAUGCUUAAACGAUUUGUGUUAUUACAUUUCAAAUACACAACAAUUCAAAAUUGAAUGAAAAAUGUUUAGUCUGUGCUACCAGUUAGCUGCAAAGACAACAGGUAAAGUCAGAUUGCAAAGCAUAAGAAACUUAAAUGUGUGAGGAAAAUGACACUGAUUGUUUUUACAGCUCACAGGACGAAGCCACCAGCUACUGCUGCUAGACCUGCAGAACCGGAUGACCCCACUGUGACUGCUGCGAAAGGUUAUUAUAUUUGUUUCCUUC